AGAGUUUGAUCCUGGCUCAGAACGAACGCUGGCGGCGUGGCUAAGGCAUGCAAGUCGAACGGGGCCUUUUGAGUAGCAAUACAAGAGAGGUUCAGUGGCGGACGGGUGAGUAAUGCAUAGGUAACGUGCCUCGAGUUCAGGGAUAACAGCGUCCCGCAAGGGACUUUGCGAAAGUGCUGGUAAUACCUGAUAACGUCAAGAGGUCUCAUGACUUUUUGACCAAAGAUGGGGACCUUCGGGCCCGUUGACUCUUGAGCGGCCUAUGUCCUAUCAGCUAGUUGGCGGGGUAAUGGCCCACCAAGGCUAUGACGGGUAACCGGCGUGAGAGCGCGACCGGUCACAUCGGAACUGAGAUACUGUCCGGACACCUACGGGUGGCUGCAGCAACGAAUAUUCCGCAAUGGGCGAAAGCCUGACGGAGCGACGCCGCGUGAGGGAUGAAGUCCCUUCGGGAUGUAAACUUCAAUAGUACGCUAGGAACCAAUCCUGGCUAAUAUCCAUGAAAGUUGACCAGCGUAUGAAAGAGGCGGCUAACUCCGUGCCAGCAGCCGCGGUAAUACGGAGGCCUCGAGCGUUGUUCGGAAUCACUGGGCUUAAAGCGCGUGUAAGCGGAGCGGUAAGUACUUUGUGAAAGCCCCGGCUUCAUCC
rnacentral:rRNA from 1 species